rnacentral:rRNA from 1 species
CCUACGGCAGGCAGCAGUGAGGAAUAUUGGUCAAUGGGCGCGAGCCUGAACCAGCCAAGUAGCGUGAAGGAUGACUGCCCUACGGGUUGUAAACUUCUUUUAUAAAGGAAUAAAGUGAGGCACGUGUGCCUUGUUGUAUGUACGUUAUGAAUAAGGAUCGGCUAACUCCGUGCCAGCAGCCGCGGUAAUACGGAGGAUCCGAGCGUUAUCCGGAUUUAUUGGGUUUAAAGGGAGCGUAGAUGGGUUGUUAAGUCAGUUGUGAAAGUUUGCGGCUCCACCGGAAAAUUGCAAUUGAUACUGGCAGUCUUGAUUACAGUUGAGGUCGGCGGAAUUCGUGGUGUAGCGGUGCAAUGCUUAGAUUUCAC